rnacentral:tRNA from 1 species
UUAAUUGAAGCCAAAAACAUUUAGAGGCUUUUCAUUGUUAAUGAAAACACUGGUGAUAAUAACACCCAAUUAAA